rnacentral:rRNA from 1 species
AACGAACGCUGGCGGCAUGCCUAACACAUGCAAGUCGAACGAGACCUUCGGGUCUAGUGGCGCACGGGUGCGUAACGCGUGGGAACCUGCCCUUAGGUUCGGAAUAACUCUCCGAAAGGGGUGCUAAUACCGGAUAAUGUCUUCGGACCAAAGAUUUAUCGCCUUUGGAUGGGCCCGCGUUGGAUUAGCUAGUUGGUAGGGUAAAAGCCUACCAAGGCGACGAUCCAUAGCUGGUCUGAGGGGAUGAUCAGCCACACUGGGACUGAGACACGGCCCAGACUCCUACGGGAGGCAGCAGUGGGGAAUAUUGGACAAUGGGCGAAAGCCUGAUCCAGCAAUGCCGCGUGAGUGAUGAAGGCCUUAGGGUUGUAAAGCUCUUUUACCCGGGAUGAUAAUGACAGUACCGGGAGAAUAAGCUCCGGCUAACUCCGUG